UGCUUUGUGAUUCUAUACUAUCUAUCUAUCUAUCUUCUAUAUAUAUAAAGUAGGCUUGUGCUCUGUGCACAACCUUCCACGUCAGCAAGAAAAUAUGGGCAAAUCGUGCCACAUCAGCAUAUCUUUUUUAAAGUUUUCUGCUGUGUGUUUUGUUAUUAUCAGUCGAGAGUAAAGAUAAUGGGCUUUGCGUAAAUAUUUAACGGCCCAAAUAGAACUAACCUAAUUCACCGAUUCUCUCCUUUCUGCAGAAGCUUCUCCGUUCCACUUCCUCUUCCCAUUGAUGUCUCUAAGAAACGGUUUGUAUCUGAUGCGACCACACCUGCACACUGUAACAACAUUCGAGUAGUGUAGUCUCCGAUUGUAUUUAUGUGCUACGUUGGUGGUGGGUUUAUCAAAGGGAACAUCACUUUUCCACUUAUUCAUCGUUUACGGCACAACUCCACAGUAACGUCUCCCUUCUCCUCUACAGCACAACUCACUGUAACGUCUCCCUUCUCCUCUGUUUCUGGGAAGCUAGGAAUGCCAAGAAAGGUGGAAAGUUUAUAGGGAUCGAUGUAGUUCUAGUAGAUGAGAAGGAUGCAGUCUACGAUGAGUGAUCAAUUAGCGUCCACCGUGUUGAACACGUUCCAACGCCUACUCAGAGAGGGAGGUAGUUAUGAGCUGAGUUCAUUUGAUGUAACAAAGAGCAAUCCGUAUUCUCAUAGAGCCAGAAAAUCAUGGCAAACUCAAGCUCGACUCUUACGAGGUACUAUAUUUCUUGAUUAGUUAGAGGGACUUAGCUGAAGCUAUUGGUGCUUCCCUCCUUCAGUCAAUGGUGGUUACAUAUCUGACUUUGAUAUCUUUAUGAUCGCUUAUAACCGAGAGAUUAAAGCCGGUGCAUGUCUUAGGAUUACCAAGCGCAGAGAGUUCGAGUAUUGCCAAACUCUAAUGGAACAUGGAUAGUAGUACAUGGUAGUUUCACCUUGCAAUAUUCACUCUUAUCUCUCAGUUUCCUUAGCCAGUUAGUACAAAUGAUUACCAUCAUGGCUAUAGACAUGUCCGGUGAAGCUAACGUAAGUGUGAUCAGUAAAAAUCAGAUCUUUUCUUUCCGUCUCUUUGUUAUCAUUUUUGUCAUUAUUUGGUUGAUUUUACUGCUGAUCACUUCUAUUUUGGGCUCUAGAUGUAUUACCAGUGUGUUUACAAUCUAUUACGUACACUUAAUAUUUUCCAUGUAUUACUCAUUCGUAAAGUCAUUAUUAUUACAAUCUAUUACGUACAAAAUUUUAUUGGUGUUAAAUAUAUGAGUUUGCAUCCCUAUCUUCCCACUUCCAGGGAUACCACGGUCUGUGUGACUAUCUUUGAUGGCUUAACUAUGCAGCUUAAUUAGAAAAUGGUUUGCAAUGGUGUAGAGCCAACGUUUGUAGCAAAAAAACACAAACCCAAAAACGGUUAGAGGUUUUGUUGUAGAAACAAAGUUUCAUGUAUUUUUUUUGCAGACAUUAACAUAUAUGUAUACUAACAACCACUUCUUAACAGGUCUCCUUAACGCUAGCUCAGGAACCCAUUUUUAUUUUGAAAGUGAGAGCACUGCCGCCGACGGUUACCUGAAAGGGUCAGGCUCUAUACAUCAGCUUUGUGUGAGUCAUGUGUUUAAGCUAAAACUUUUCAGUACUGUUACAUUAAGUUUCUCGGAGGGUUCUAAGGAGCGAUGACAGUUCCUCCUCAGCUACUCUCAAUUAUGACGGCAUGAAGAAGAUUGACUCAGUGACACUAUCUGAGUUGAAUUUUCAUGAUCUUAGUUCACCACCCAAGACUGUCGAGUUCCUAUGUACUAGGGAUGUUGGCAGUAUUGAAACAGCAAAUGGAUGGUGCUGUGUCUCAUGCUCCAAGUUCUCAUCCUGCACGUGUGCGCCCUGCCAUGGUGAAAAUGCGGUUGGAGUUGCAAGGUACCGGGUAGAGAUGUUAGUUACUGAUGUAUUUGACACUGCCAUGUUCGUAGCUUUUGAUGGUGAGAUGAACAAGUUGACCAGUGGUCCUGCUGUAGCAGCAUCCAUGAUAACAUAGCUGAAACCUGAACAAGUUGACCAGUGGUCUUGCUGCAGCAGUUUCAGCGUCCAUGGUAACAUAGCUGAUACCGUAAGUGUUGAGUUAUUGUUUCUUAAUUUAAAACCUCCUCCUCUGUAAUGUCUUUCAUCAUAUAAAGUCCUGAGAGCCUAGGAGGGCAGACCCACAUAACUAGCCCCUUCCACAAUGCUUCAUAGAUAUUGUGGGGAGGACCAUUACAUUCCAGCUUAAGCUUUCACAUUAAAAAUUCACAUCAAGGCAUCAGUCUUUCACCAUAGCUCGCAUAUUUGAUCGUAAGUUGUAACCAACGUCCCUCCCCCCCCCCGCCCCGCCCCCCCCCCCCCCCUCCUAAUUUUACUGUCUAGGUUUGCUGUCUCACUUUAAAAGCUAUCUUACUCUAUUACAUUUCUAAUUGCUCUAUUCACUAACACCUCCACAUGGUGUUGAUGACAAUCUGUGAUGAGAGGAGUUGUGAAAACAUGUCUCGCAGCAGGUGGACAGAUUGGUGUUCCUGUUAAUAGCCCAGAAGUGCGUAACAAUGACAUUGUUGUAGGCCAUCGUGGAGAGGUUCCACAACUGAGUGAUCUCCCGGUUGUGACUGACCCAACUUCUGAGGAGUCUCAAGCUGAUGAAGAUGGACGUUGUGCAUGCAUUGUUAAACGUGCGAGCUGACGUGUACAUGUCAUUGUUGUCUACUUCAGACGUAUCUCUACUAUCAAGUUUUUCUUAAAUUUCAUUUUCGACAUUAAUAAGUCAUACUUGAAUGCAUUGUCCUGUUUUAAAAGAUGAUUUUGUUUGUUUAAAAUUUACUUACCCAGCAAGUAGUCUAUGCAUAUUUACUUUUAAAAUGUUUCUGAAUGGAAUAAAAUUAGUGCUUAUCAUAUC